CUCUGCUGGGUUCAUCUUGUCUUGUCCGGUUGUCCCUAAGCUAGCCUAGCUGACCUCCCUCUCCUCUUCUAGUCUUCUCCGCCAAGCCAGCCGCGCCGCAGGCAGCCUCCUCUCGCCGUGGCGGGCGUGCAGGACUCCCUCCUGAGGGCCUCUCUCCGAAUUUGCCUCGCCGCCCCAUGGACAUCUCCCCUCUGGCACCGGUCGGAUUUCACCUGCUCGCCGCCGGCGCGGGAUCUCCCAGUCCCAGCCUGUCUGAUACCUGUGUAGGACGGACGGAGUGACUACUGGGAAUACUAUGAACCUCACCAUACAUGCCGAUUUCAUCUCCAGUGAUGCAUCACUACUCACCGAGGGCCCAAACUGGAAAGUGUAAGAAUUUACUUCACUUCGAGAACUUCUGAAUGGUUGUACAGAAAUUCAUGACGGACUAUAAUGUUUCAGAACUGACGCAUCCAAAAAUAAAUUCAGAAGUGCACACAGAAACACUGGUGGCUAUCAUAGUUCCAGCACAAACAUUAUUUAGGUAGCUAUGAUAGAUGAUCAUGUGCCACAGCUCAAAAUUUUGCCAGCAGAUGUACAAUUAUGGAAUCGGCAGUCAUAUUAGAACUAAGUCAGCACCAGUAUUGGUAAUAGGUGUUUCACAUCUUGCAACCAGAAGACUCAGAAUAAUUGCUAUGAACUACUACUACUAGUACGAGUAACAUGUCAACAAAAUCUACUGUUUGUCUUCCGUAACUAAGCUUUCCUUGGGUAUUGGCUGCCCGACUACUGAUGCCUUCUCACUGAAAAUAGGAGUCGUAUCAAGGCCGAGUAUCUGGACAGGACCUUUUGGCGCUGAUGCCUCAGCAGGUUGGUGAUUGAAUUGUUGUUUGGCGGUGUCAUGAGUACUACAAUUAUGAGCGAGAUGUAAGCAGGAUCUACCGUUUGUCUUUGAUCACUAAGCUUUCCUGGGGCGCUGGCUGCCCGACUACUGUCGCCUUCUCUCCAAAUGUUGGAGCUGCAUGAAGACUGGGUAUCUGAACAAAAUCUUUUGGUGCUGAGGCCUCAGCAGUAUGGUGAUUGAGUUGUUGCUGGUUUGGUGCUGAAUUGGUCUCCAUGCUAGGGGCACCAAGGCAUCUUCGAACCUCAGUGAUCCCUGUCUCCAGUUUACUCAGUUCGCCUUCAAGCUCUGUUAUGUAUUGCACUGCAAGAGCUAAAAGUCUUGUUCCCUUGGAGUUUGUAGGUUGAGGAAGGACAGCUCUUAGCUUGACAUGCCCAUCUACCGCUUGCUGACCAGCUGGUAUCAGAUCAGAUCCUCCAUGGGAUGAACCUGCAGGUGCAUUCUGAUCUUUACUGGGUAAUUCAUUGAUGAGUUUAUCACCAAUAGUUCCAUUGUCACGUUGUUGCUUCUGUAAGCUUUCGAGAUAGUCAGCUGCAAAAUUAACCCUAAUCUCAAGCUCCUUGAUUCUCUCUGCUGCUUGUAGCAUAAUACUAUUCUCACUCAGUUUACCAGGGCCCGGUAACUUUGCUUGGAUCAUUGCACGGAUGUCAUUCUUUCUGUGCCUGGAUUGUGCCUGACGGCUCAGAUUGCACCUAAACCACAGCAUAUGCAUUAAAGUGAGCACAAAAAGAUAAGGUGGCCAUACAAAAUUUAGUUAGGAGAUCGAUUGCAAAAGCGGCAUGUACCUGAAUAUGGCUAAUGUGCGAUCUAUGGUAAUUCUGAAAACACGGCACAUAUUAUGUUUGGCUACCUGAUGUUUGUAUGGAGCAGUUUGCAGGAGGUCUUCGAAUGGAAAUGGGUACCCAAAUUAACAUCUGAUUGUGUAGACUGGGUUUGAGGUAUAGGGAGUAAGAGAGUGGGCUUAGCUUAGUUUGGGUGUUCAGCGAUUACUGUGCGUUGUGGUUAACUUGCAAGCUGACCAUUGAGAAAAAAAAAAUGGUUUGAUACCCCACUGAUGUUCUGUACAAUACGGUAUCUUUUCUUGCAGCAAUGAAGUCUGCUGCUGAAGAAGCAGGACGGAGAUUUGUGUGAUUGGGCAGUUCAUCAAGCGCAAGCGAAGUGCAGAGAUCUUUUCGAAAAAAGGAAGUUCAGAGAUCUGAAAGGAACCUAGUCCUCUAGUUUGGUUUGUCAGCUUUUGCUGUUUAAUUUUCUCCAGGCGUCUUUGGUUUCCAGAGUUCUCCAAGAAUCAUGCAAGAAACACCAAAACAGUACAUAAAUACUAGUACAAUUAGUACCUUUCUUGGUUUUCUUGAUUGCUUC